UCUAUCUAGUAACUAGUCUACCUGCUGUAUCAGUAGUGGUGUGUCCUAUCCAUCUAUCUAGUAACUAGUCUACCUGCUGUAUCAGUAGUGUCCUGACCAUCUAUCUAGUAACUAGUCUACCUGCUGUAUCAGUAGUGUCCUGUCCAUCUAUCUAGUAACUAGUCUACCUGCUGUAUCAGUAGUGGUGUGUCCUGUCCAUCUAUCUAGUAACUAGUCUACCUGCUGUAUCAGUAGUGUCCUGUCCAUCUAUCUAGUAACUAGUCUACCUGGAGAACCUGUUAUCUUUACAACGGGGAUUGAUGUUGCUUUCAAGACAAUUGGGAACUCUAAAAAUAAAAGGCCAAUGACGUCGGUGAUCUUAAUGUCGGGAAAGUCGAAGCUCUAGAAAGAGGCCCGAGUUACCGACUUGGAUAACCAUUCAAAACGAUUUUAAAAUCAGUUGGUGCUCGUUUUUUUUCCGAGUUCCCAGUUGUCUUGAACGCACCGAAUUCUGUUAGUCGAAGAUUUCCGAGUUCUGACUUCCCAGUUGUUUUAAACGCGACACGAGUUAAUGCUCAACGUCAUCAUAGUAAAACAUAUAAUUAAAAACAAAUAAACAUUAUGGCAGUUCGCGUAGCAGAAGAUAUUCACAUCAUGAGUAUAUAUGGCACAGCGAACAGCGAAGCGUUCAGUAGGAUUUGGGCCAGGCAGACAAGCUACUAUAAAUCAAUCUGACUUAUUCAGUCUGCCAGAGACGCCGCCCCGACUCGAUAAAACGCUGGAAUUAGUAGCCUAUUAAAAGAGAACAUUUUGAGUGAGUUUAUGAAUUCCUGAAAGUAAAUCGCCACAGAAACAUCACAGGAGACCCGAGGCCGGUUGGAACACCCAGCUUUCCUAUGAUUUCACGCCGCUUUCGAAGCAUCCGUACCGGGCGAAGCAUUUCCCCCUUUAUGGGUUCUGCAGACGGGGCUUCUGCUAUUAUCAUCAAAACUACUGUGAUUUGUGACGGUGGUGCGUGUGAACUUACAGAAGCAACUAGACAAGUGACACUUCUCUACCCCCGCAUGCAGACUGCUCAAUCGACUUUAACAAGCAAAGAUAUUAGAGUCAAGUUUAUUAUUUCUUUCUCUGGUUUGAUGGACAGACAGUUGUACGUGAAACAGUUCUAUAUGGUUGUCAUAGUGCCUGGAUUUGACCAAUUAAGACUUUAGUAGUGUUUUUUUUUACCAUGUUGUAUUAAUUUAAGGACUACACAGUCUAAAAGUUGUAUGCCAGUUGAUAUACUAGAGAGCCCUUGGACUGUUUGGUAACUAUGGUAACUAAAUAAAACCCACUUUUAAAAUUA